rnacentral:rRNA from 1 species
UACGUAGGGUGCGAGCGUUAAUCGGAAUUACUGGGCGUAAAGCGUGCGCAGGCGGUUUUGUAAGACAGAUGUGAAAUCCCCGGGCUUAACCUGGGAACUGCAUUUGUGACUGCAAGACUAGAGUACGGCAGAGGGGGGUAGAAUUCCACGUGUAGCAGUGAAAUGCGUAGAGAUGUGGAGGAACACCGAUGGCGAAGGCAAUCCCCUGGACCUGUACUGACGCUCAUGCACGAAAGCGUGGGGAGCAAACAGG